AAUUGUCUCAUCCAGCAGAAAAGACUGAAUCCUGUGAUAGUUUCUUGUCUGAGGAUCAAUCUAUAUAAAUAUAGGAAGGUAUGAUACCAAGUUGGCCACAGGAUUAUGCAUAUUCCAGGUCCAUCCACUCACAAAGACUGUUCACUAAGGUGUGGAAGAAUUGAAACUGGCCAUACCCAUGAAUCAUGGGUCUUUGAAAUAUUAAAGUAUCAGCAUAGGUGCUUGUUCCAUCAAUACUAAUCACUGUUACAAUCCCAUCCAUCUUUCAUUAUUUGGAGUAGCUGUAAAAUCCAUGAUCUGGUGGUCACUCCUUUCAUGAGGCAUCUCUUCACACUCUGAAGUAGGCUAUUCCUCACACUGCAGACAAAUGGUCCAUCAUUCUCUUCUUCAAACCAUUCUCUCUUGAAUACCUAUGAAGGAAUUGGACUUGGAUGAAGGAUACCCAAGACAAAGAGCACAAGAUGAGGGAUGAGAUAAUCACUGCAGAAGUGAAGCAAGUUAUACUGUCCUCCUGGCUGUUCUAAGAACAAGGCAUCUGGAUCUGGAAAAUCUCCCUCAUGCCUGGAAUGCUCUCUUCAUUCAACUUUGGCUGCUAACUUCCCUGGCUUCCUUUAAGUUCCAGGGUUAUGGACAGUUUAUCAUGGAAGAAUAUGAAAGGAAAAUGGUCAACAUGAAACAGGGCCCUGCUCCAUCUUAUUGUGAGGAAGAAAAAGAGAACAUAAACAAAUGUCUUUUAACUCAUAUGCACAGACAAGCAAAAUGAAUUCCCUCAAUAGAUAUAUGGCUAAGGAUAUGAAGAGAUAGUUCUAAGAAAAGAAGUUCAGGAUUAUCUAUAACCAUAAUUUUAAUAAAAAUUAAAUUAAUAAUAUAAAUGAAAAUUAA
rnacentral:lncRNA from 1 species